rnacentral:sRNA from 1 species
ACUACCCAACAACCACCUAUGCUGCCCCCAUCUCAGCCUGAGCAUUCUAGCAGUGAGGAGGCACCAAGCAGAACCAUCCCCACAGCUUGUGUUCGACCAACUCAUCCACUCCGCAGCUUUGCUAAUCCUUUGCUACCUCCACCAAUGAGUGCAAUAGAACCGAAAGUCCCUUACACACCACUUUUGUCUCAGCCAGGGCCCACUCUUCCUAAGACCCAUGUGAAAACAGCCUCCCUUGGGUUGGCUGGAAAAGCAAGAUCCCCUUUGCUUCCUGUGUCUGUGCCAACAGCCCCUGAAGUGUCUGAGGAGAGCCACAAACCAACAGAGGAUUCAGCCAAUGUAAGGGCAUCUUUAAAAUUCAUGCUUCAUCAAGGGACAGAUUGACUGGCGCUGUGUAAUAGCAUCUAAACCAAUGAGUACUGUCCAUUCACCCCAGGCCAUUGUUGUUCUUAUUGUUGUUUGUUCUUCUGUUUUCCUGCACUUAAAUAUGAAGAGGAAAUAAAAGCUAUGAAAAAAAAA